CAAAAAACGAACCCACCCUGAACCCCACUCUCCCCACCUCCCGUGACCAACCUGCUUGAUCCCCAUCCCCAGCCUCCUUGGGCCGGCGGGCAAACUCGCCCCGUACGGUGAACCCCGCCGCCGGGUGCCACCCACCCACCGUAGUGCGCCCCAUCAACCCCCACCGCCGUGGGUUGCCCAUCGACAACGCCUCACCUAGUCAACCCCACCACCGUGCACUUCCCAACCAUCACGCCGCGCACCGCCAUCCACACUGCCGCGCGCCACCCGCAAUCCCCGCCUCCAUGACUCCUCCUUUGUCGUCCCGUUCUGCGGUAUCAAAUUUCGGCAGCAAUCCCGUUGAACAGCUUGGAUCCAUGGCGUCAGCGAGCAACUGCACCCCCACAGUCGCGCGACACCCUAGCAGGUGUAGGUGGGCGAGAGGGACGAAGAAGUGGCAAAGGAGCUCCAGCUCGAUCUGCUCGGCUGUCGGCGGAGGAGCGGAGCACCCCUCGCGCAGGUCUAGCUUGAUUCUUAUCGUCCGCCAUCGUGCGUUCAGAGGCCUCCCGCGCUCGAGCUCCUACAGGUGACAGGCAUCUCAUUCUUGCCGAUUUUAGUUGCCGCCACUGAGCUUCUCUGAUUCACCACUAUUCUUUGUAAUUCGCCCAUGCCUCUAUUUCUCUGGACCAGAAGAAGAGAGAAGUUUAUCCUAGCUGAGAGACAGAGUUGAAGCUCAACGUGUAUAUUAAAUAAAAGAAGAUUGCAGUGAUGAUGAGUGCGUGGCUGCCUGUAGUUCUUGUGUUUAAUACAAACACUCCCCUUUCCUUCCCUGCAACAAUGGACACAAGCAUGCAAGGUGCUUCUCCUAUUGUGUCUGCUGGAAGAAGUGGAAAUCUAAUCGGCGUGCAGGUUCUUGGGCAGGUGGGUGUGCUAGUGUAGUUUUUCAGUUGACGAUCUAGCUAGCGCACUUUCUUCAGGUUGGCACCGUUCAGUUUGAAAAGUGUAGUGAGAAGAUGGGGGCACCAACAACGGACCAGCGGUGACCGGGCCUUCUCUCAUCCAGAUCCCCGCGGAUGUGUGUCAUCAAUGCCUUGAGCUGGGCCCGCUCAACCUCAGUCUCCAGGACGAAUACGGCGCUGCCCAGCAGGAAGGGUAACAAAAAAGUUGCAAAAAAUGCGAGUGCAGCUGAUUGCCUCCUCUGUGUUGUGAUGUACUAUGUGUUCUAGUUUUUUUUAAGUUCAUGUUGUGAACCCAACUAAGUUUGAGCACAAAAGUUUAAAUGGCGACUGGUUUGAAUUUUCUCCUAUAGCAAAAAUCUCGCUUCCCUCCUGUGUACUAUGUCCACUUAUGUGUUGUUUGUCAAUGCUUUUUAUCUGAUGUUCAGUAGUA